rnacentral:rRNA from 1 species
UGGGGAAUAUUGGACAAUGGGCGAAAGCCUGAUCCAGCCAUGCCGCGUGUGUGAAGAAGGUCUUCGGAUUGUAAAGCACUUUAAGUUGGGAGGAAGGGCAGUAAGCGAAUACCUUGCUGUUUUGACGUUACCUACAGAAUAAGCACCUGCUAACUCUGUGCCAGCAGCCGCGGUAAUACAGAGGGUGCAAGCGUUAAUCGGAAUUACUGGGCGUAAAGCGCGCGUAGGUGGUUCGUUAAGUUGAAUGUGAAAGCCCCGGGCUCAACCUGGGAACUGCAUCCAAAACUGGCGAGCUAGAGUAGGGCAGAGGGUGGGGGAAUUUACUGUGUAGCGGUGAAAUGCGUAGAUAUAGGAAAGAACAACAGUGGCGAAGGCGACCAACUGGGCUCAUACUGACACUGAGGUGCGAAAGCGUGGGGAGCAAACAGG